rnacentral:rRNA from 1 species
UGGGGAAUAUUGGACAAUGGGGGCAACCCUGAUCCAGCAAUGCCGCGUGGGUGAAGAAGGCCUUCGGGUUGUAAAGCCCUUUCAGCAGGGAAGAAAAGCCUGGGGAUAAUACCUCUGGGUGCUGACGGUACCUGCAGAAGAAGCACCGGCUAACUCCGUGCCAGCAGCCGCGGUAAUACGGAGGGUGCGUGCGUUUAUCGGAAUUACUGGGCGUAAUGGGCGCGUAGGCGGCUGUUUAUGUCGGGUGUGAAUGCCCCGGGCUCAACCUGGGAAUUGCAUUCGAUACUGGAUAGCUGGAGUGUAGUAGAGGGAAGCGGAAUUCCGGGUGUAGCGGUGAAAUGCGUAGAUAUCCGGAGGAACAUCAGUGGCGAAGGCGGCUUCCUGGACUAACACUGACGCUGAGGCGCGAAAGCGUGGGGAGCAAACAGGAUUAGAUACCCCCGUAGUCC